AAAGGGUCCGUAGGCGGUUUGGUAAGUCAGUGGUGAAAGCCCAUCGCUCAACGGUGGAACGGCCAUUGAUACUGCCAGACUUGAAUUAUUAGGAAGUAACUAGAAUAUGUAGUGUAGCGGUGAAAUGCUUAGAGAUUACAUGGAAUACCAAUUGCGAAGGCAGGUUACUACUAAUGGAUUGACGCUGAUGGACGAAAGCGUGGGUAGCGAACAGGAUUAGAUACCCCAGU
rnacentral:rRNA from 1 species